ACUCAAAUGAAUAGACGGGGGCCCGCACAAGCGGUGGAGCAUGUGGUUUAAUUCGAUGCAACGCGAAGAACCUUACCUACCCUUGACAUCCUGCGAAGCCGACUGAGAGGUUGGUGUGCCGAAAGGAACGCAGAGACAGGUGCUGCAUGGCUGUCGUCAGCUCGUGUUGUGAGAUGUUGGGUUAAGUCCCGUAACGAGCGCAACCCUUGUUCUUAGUUGCCAUCAUUAAGUUGGGGACUCUAAGAAGACUGCCGGUGAAGAACCGGAGGAAGGCGGGGACGAGGUCAAGUCAUCAUGGCCUUUAUGGGUAGGGCUACACACGUGCUACAAUGGGGCGUACAGAGGGAAGCGAACCCGCGAGGGGGAGCGAAUCUUGAGAAAGCGCCUCGUAGUCCAGAUUGGAGUCUGCAACUCGACUCCAUGAAGUUGGAAUCGCUAGUAAUCGCGAAUCAGCAACGUCGCGGUGAAUACGUUCCCGGGCCUUGCACACACCGCCCGU
rnacentral:rRNA from 1 species